rnacentral:rRNA from 1 species
CUUACCAACCCGAUGCAAACUGCGAAUACCGGAGAAUGUUAUCACGGGAGACACACGGCGGGUGCUAACGUCCGUCGUGAAGAGGGAAACAACCCAGACCGCCAGCUAAGGUCCCAAAGUCAUGGUUAAGUGGGAAACGAUGUGGGAAGGCCCAGACAGCCAGGAUGUUGGCUUAGAAGCAGCCAUCAUUUAAAGAAAGCGUAAUAGCUCACUGGUCGAGUCGGCCUGCGCGGAAGAUGUAACGGGGCUAAACCAUGCACCGAAGCUGCGGCAGCGACACUAUGUGUUGUUGGGUAGGGGAGCGUUCUGUAAGCCUGUGAAGGUGGCCUGUGAGGGUUGCUGGAGGUAUCAGAAGUGCGAAUGCUGACAUAAGUAACGAUAAAGCGGGUGAAAAGCCCGCUCGCCGGAAGACCAAGGGUUCCUGUCCAACGUUAAUCGGGGCAGGGUGAGUCGACCCCUAAGGCGAGGCCGAAAGGCGUAGUCGAUGGGAAACAGGUUAAUAUUCCUGUACUUGGUGUUACUGCGAAGGGGGGACGGAGAAGGCUAUGUUGGCCGGGCGACGGUUGUCCCGGUUUAAGCGUGUAGGCUGGUUUUCCAGGCAAAUCCGGAAAACCAAGGCUGAGGCGUGAUGACGAGGCACUACGGUGCUGAAGCGACAAAUGCCCUGCUUCCAGGAAAAGCCUCUAAGCAUCAGGUAACAUCAAAUCGUACCCCAAACCGACACAGGUGGUCAGGUAGAGAAUACCAAGGCGCUUGAGAGAACUCGGGUGAAGGAACUAGGCAAAAUGGUGCCGUAACUUCGGGAGAAGGCACGCUGAUAUGUAGGUGAAGCGACUUGCUCGUGGAGCUGAAAUCAGUCGAAGAUACCAGCUGGCUGCAACUGUUUAUUAAAAACACAGCACUGUGCAAACACGAAAGUGGACGUAUACGGUGUGACGCCUGCCCGGUGCCGGAAGGUUAAUUGAUGGGGUUAGCGGUAACGCGAAGCUCUUGAUCGAAGCCCCGGUAAACGGCGGCCGUAACUAUAACGGUCCUAAGGUAGCGAAAUUCCUUGUCGGGUAAGUUCCGACCUGCACGAAUGGCGUAAUGAUGGCCAGGCUGUCUCCACCCGAGACUCAGUGAAAUUGAACUCGCUGUGAAGAUGCAGUGUACCCGCGGCAAGACGGAAAGACCCCGUGAACCUUUACUAUAGCUUGACACUGAACAUUGAGCCUUGAUGUGUAGGAUAGGUGGGAGGCUUUGAAGUGUGGACGCCAGUCUGCAUGGAGCCGACCUUGAAAUACCACCCUUUAAUGUUUGAUGUUCUAACGUUGGCCCGUAAUCCGGGUUGCGGACAGUGUCUGGUGGGUAGUUUGACUGGGGCGGUCUCCUCCUAAAGAGUAACGGAGGAGCACGAAGGUUGGCUAAUCCUGGUCGGACAUCAGGAGGUUAGUGCAAUGGCAUAAGCCAGCUUGACUGCGAGCGUGACGGCGCGAGCAGGUGCGAAAGCAGGUCAUAGUGAUCCGGUGGUUCUGAAUGGAAGGGCCAUCGCUCAACGGAUAAAAGGUACUCCGGGGAUAACAGGCUGAUACCGCCCAAGAGUUCAUAUCGACGGCGGUGUUUGGCACCUCGAUGUCGGCUCAUCACAUCCUGGGGCUGAAGUAGGUCCCAAGGGUAUGGCUGUUCGCCAUUUAAAGUGGUACGCGAGCUGGGUUUAGAACGUCGUGAGACAGUUCGGUCCCUAUCUGCCGUGGGCGCUGGAGAACUGAGGGGGGCUGCUCCUAGUACGAGAGGACCGGAGUGGACGCAUCACUGGUGUUCGGGUUGUCAUGCCAAUGGCACUGCCCGGUAGCUAAAUGCGGAAGAGAUAAGUGCUGAAAGCAUCUAAGCACGAAACUUGCCCCGAGAUGAGUUCUCCCUGACUCCUUGAGAGUCCUGAAGGAACGUUGAAGACGACGACGUUGAUAGGCCGGGUGUGUAAGCGCAGCGAUGCGUUGAGCUAACCGGUACUAAUGAACCGUGAGGCUUAACCUUACAACGCCGAAG